CCUACGGCAGGCUGCAGUGGGGAAUAUUGGACAAUGGGCGAAAGCCUGAUCCAGCCAUGCCGCGUGUGUGAAGAAGGCCUUCGGGUUGUAAAGCACUUUCAGUGGGGAAGAAAGCCUUGGGGCUAAUACCCUCGAGGAAGGACAUCACCCACAGAAGAAGCACCGGCUAACUCCGUGCCAGCAGCCGCGGUAAUACGGAGGGUGCGAGCGUUAAUCGGAAUUACUGGGCGUAAAGCGCGCGUAGGCGGUCUGAUAAGCCGGUUGUGAAAGCCCCGGGCUCAACCUGGGAACGGCAUCCGGAACUGUCAGGCUAGAGUGCAGGAGAGGAAGGUAGAAUUCCCGGUGUAGCGGUGAAAUGCGUAGAGAUCGGGAGGAAUACCAGUGGCGAAGGCGGCCUUCUGGACUGACACUGACGCUGAGGUGCGAAAGCGUGGGUAGCAAACAGGAUUAAUCCCGAGUAGUC
rnacentral:rRNA from 1 species